rnacentral:rRNA from 1 species
GACGAACGCUGGCGGCGUGCCUAACACAUGCAAGUCGAGCGGAGUCAGUAAGAGGAAGUUUUCGGAUGGAGUCUUAUUGAUUUAGCGGCGGACGGGUGAGUAACGCGUGAGCGACCAACCUUGCACAGGGGGAUAACGGACCGAAAGGUUCACUAAUACCGCAUGAGACCACGGUGUUGCAUGACACACGGGUCCAAGGAGCAAUCCGGUGCAAGACGGGCUCGCGUCCGAUUAGGUAGUUGGAGGGGUAACGGCCCAACAAGCCUAUGAUCGGUAGCCGACCUGAGAGGGUGAUCGGCCACAUUGAAACUGAGAUACGGUCCAAACUCCUGCGGGAGGCAGCAGUGGGGAAUAUUGGGCAAUGGGGGAAACCCUGACCCAGCAACGCCGCGUGAAGGAAGAAGGUUUUCGGAUUGUAAACUUCUGUCCUUGGUGAAGAGAAGAAGACGGUAGCCAAGGAGGAAGCCCCGGCUAACUACGUGCCAGCAGCCGCAGUAA